UUCACAGCGAGCCCUGCUGGCACUGGGGGCCUGCAUUCCAGUUUUCCUCCCCAGCUGUGGGAUGCUGUUGGCGCCUUGGUGCCAGCCGCUGAGGUGAGCAGGUGGGUGAGGGGCUCCGUGAAGCUCUGGCAUCUGGUGUCCGGCCCAGGACUUGGGGGUGCUGGCCUCGCCGCCUGGCCGGGUCAUACAUAAGGGGUCGGUCAGCUCUGCCCCAGGCCAGGAUGCUGCUGGGCCCACAGCCGCCCCAGGACCCCCUCAGCCCAGGUGCCCUCCCUCAGUGCUCAGUUCCGGGGAUGACUGUGUCCCCCACCCCGUCACGCUGCUCAGCGAGCACCCUGUAAUCCCAUAUGGUAACUCAUGAAUCUACCCACUAAGAAACCACAACAUGUGAUUCCUCGAGGGAGGCUGGGGGGUAGUCGCGGAGUCGUGGCUGGGCCCAGCCGCGGACUCAGGUCUGUGAUGGGCUAACCUGUGCCCCCACAUCCGCAGGUGGGCGGCCUGACCCUAGACUCAGAGCGUGACUUCUUUGGAGACAGGGUCAUUGAAGGUGUGUGUGACGAUGAGGCCACGGGGUCACCCCUGACCAGUGUGACCAGUGUCCUUAUAAAAGGGGCGUGGACCCAGGCGGGCCUAGAGGGAUGGUGGCACAGAGGCAGGAGAAAAUGCCCACCAAAGCCCAGGAGGAGGCCUGGGACAGGCCCUUCCCGGCGCCUUCAGAGGGAGCCUGGCCCUGCCAGAUGCCUGGUCUCACGUCGGCCUCCAGGACUGCGAGACCUUCCUGCUGUGUGGGUGCCCAGUGCCAGCACUUGCUAAGGGUCCCCAGCCCCAGGAAAGCAGUGCCGUCCCCUGAGCCAAGUGGACCUCUCUCUGCUUCUGUGGCUUCUCUAUAUUUAGUUAUCAUGUUUCAAAGGCUUAUCAAAUCCCUGGGCAUAAAACGUUUUACGAAUCUGUCUAAAUAACGUUCCAAGGUGUCUCAUACUCGACGGAAUCUUGGACGGUGCUGCCCCUUGCAGGUGGCUGGGACUGCCUGGGUACAGCCUCUCCUUGGUUUUCAGCUUGGCUCUGCCUUCACCCCACAUGGGGUUCCGUCUGGCCCUAGCGGGGAGGGUGCUUGGCUCGGGCAGUGGGCUGGGCGGCCCCUGGCCCAGGACGGCUCUGGAGAAUAAGGAGGCCACCACAGGCCGGUAGGCCUGAGACCUCUGCCCCUUCUGAGGCCGCGGGGUUGAGCAGCUGAGCAGCUGACUCUCCCAUGGUCAGUGAGGGCUCAGCAUUUUCUCUUCUGGUUGAAAUAGAAACUGGGAAGUUGGAGGCCAAGAUUGAGGGGCAGGCGGAGGUGGUUCUCCUGCCAAGCUUCCUAAACGGCAGAAGCAGCAGAAGCAGCUAGGGUUAGUGUUGGCUUCUCUCUCUCUCUCUCUCUCUCUCUCUCUCUCUCUCUCUGUGUCUCUCUGUCUCUCUCUGUCUCUCUCUCUCUGUGUCUCUCUCUCUCUGUCUCUGUCUCUCUGUCUCUCGGUCUCUCUGUCUCUGUCUCUCUGUCUCUGUCUCUCUCUCUCUGUCUCUCUCUCUCUCUCUCUCAUUUAUUUCUAGAGCAUUUACAAAUUAAUUUUCCUGGUCUAAACCGGGAGGGGCUGCCAUGAUAAAAUGAAGCUGUUUGGUGUUCCAUGUCGAUCUCCCUGAGACAAUGCACUCCUGAGCCUGCUGGGCCCUGCCUCACAGCUGAGUCCUGGUCAGGGCCCUGCCCCUUCUUCCUCUCCCUUGGCCCUGGUUCCACAGAGACCUAUUUCUCCAGGGCAUCCAGGAAGCACCUACGGUGAUGGGGGAUUGCAUUUCAGCAGCAAUCCAUGUGUGAACAUUAAAACGAUCUCCUUAAAUAUUCAUGGUGACCAUGACCUCAUCUGGCUGCCUCGGGCCAGGGCUGGGUGCAGGUCAGGGAAGGGGGCUCAGGCCCUGAGACCCCAGCCUGGUCCCCAGCAAUACAGCUCCCCUCUGUCCUCUCCUCUCUGAGUCAACCCCUCCUGAGAGCUCCGAUGUCUCCUCUCUGGGGUGGCAGAGGUGGGGGCUGCUUUCCAAGCAAAGAAAUGCUCUGGGGCCACGUGGGAAUAAAUAUUUCAUGGGAGAGCAGACCUAGCCAGUAAAAAAUUAAGCAGCUUUACAUCAUCAGAGAGAGAAAGAAAGGGUUGCCUCAUGUUAUGAGUCUGCUGGUGUCCUUAGGACAGAGACAGGGAGACUGAGGUUUUGGGGUAAAUUAUUUAGGGUGUUGUAGGCUGGUCUAGGAAUGUUAAGCUGAAAUGAGACCGGCCCUGGAAGACGACAGGGGGAGCUGGGGUAAGAAGUGCUGCCUUAUGGAAGGCGUGGCGUGCAGAGACGCUGGCCACGAGGAACCCUUUCCCCGUGCACCUGCGCAGUAGCGCCUGCCUCGCGGGAGGCCCCACAGAUGUUGUUGAAUAAAGGGGCAGUGAGUCAGUGAGGCCAUUUCAGCCAUUUUUCUGUUGCCGCCUCACUCUGGAUUUAUGAAAGUACUUGCUAAUCGACGAUCGUCUUCGCCCGGCAUGCUGCAAAUUCACGUUUAUAUGCCCCCUGCCUCCCCCAAAUCAGCUACGGCAGAGUCAGGGGCAGGGACGGGUGGGCAUGGCCGGGCAGCUGCUCGGCUGCGUCACGCCGGGGGUGGCUGGAGCUGAUUCGGAAGCAGUGAAAUGUGGGCCCGCGUGGCUUCCCUGGAAAGAAAACAGGUCCUUGCCUAGAAAUUCAGUGGGUGACCUAAGAUGAUUGAGGGCUGUGUCCAUGUAAAUUUUUCAGUAAGGUGAGGGGCCAGUUUGUCAGUAAACUCCCUGGUGCUGUAAUUAGGGGGCUAUGUUCAGGAACUGGCUUCCUAAUGUGCAUUGAGGGCAGUGCUGACGCAGCCCAUGUACAUGCUAAAUACACGUGGGAGUGUUUGUGAAGAGACAGGCCUGCACAACACAGGGGACCUGACACUGAGCAUCCAUGUGGCCCUUUCUGGUACCCAGAACUGUGCACCCCCCUGUGCAGCAUCUCACAGGACUAAACAGACAGUAACACAACCCCGAACAGACAGUAAAAACCCGGAACAGAGAGGAACAACCCUGAACAGACAGUAACAACCCGGAACAGAGAGGAAGAACCCCAAACAGGCAGUAACAACCCCCAACAGGCAGUAACAACCCCGAACAGAGAGUAACAACCCUGAACAGAGAGGAACAACCCCGAACUGAGAGGAACAACCCUGAACAGACACUAACAACCCAGAACCAGGCAGUUACAAGCCUGAACAGACAGUAACAACCGGGAACAGACAGUAACAACCCUGAACAGACAGUAAAAACCCGGAACAGAGAGGAAGAACCCCAAACAGGCAGUAACAACCCCCAACAGGCAGUAACAACCCCGAACAGAGAGGAACAAUCCCAAACAGGCAGUAACAACCCCGAACAGAGAGGAACAACCCCGAACUGAGAGGAACAACCCCAAACAGGCAGGAACAACCCUGAACAGACACUAACAACCCAGAACCAGGCAGUUACAAGCCUGAACAGACAGUAACAACCGGGAACAGACAGUAACAACCCUGAACAGACAGUAAAAACCCGGAACAGAGAGGAAGAACCCCAAACAGGCAGUAACAACCCCCAACAGGCAGUAACAACCCCAAACAGAGAGGAACAAUCCCAAACAGGCAGUAACAACCCCGAACAGAGAGGAAGAAUCCCAAACAGGCAGUAACAACCCUGAACAGACAGUAAAAACCCCGGAACAGGGAGGAACAACCCCAAACAGGCAGGAACAACCCCAAACAGGCAGUAACAACCCUGAACAGAGAGUAACAACCCCGAACAGACAGUAACAACCCCGAACAGGCAGUAACAACCCCAAACAGAGAGGAACAACCCUGAACAGACAGUAACAACCCUGAACAGACAGUAAAACCCCAGAACAGAGAGGAACGAACCCAAACAGGCAGGAACAACCCUGAACAGGCAGUAACAACCCUGAACAGAGAGUAACAACCCUGAACAGACAGUAACAACCCAGAACAGGGAGGAACAACCCGGAACAGAGAGGAACAACCCCAAACAGGCAGGAACAACCCCAAACAGGCAGUAACAACCCCGAACAGAGAGUAACAACCCCGAACAGACAGUAACAACCACGAACAGGCAGUAACAACCCCGAACAGAGAGGAACAACCCUGAACAGGCAGUAACAACCCUGAACAGACAGUAAAACCCCAGAACAGAGAGGAACAACCCCAAACAGGCAGGAACAACCCUGAACAGGCAGUAACAACCCCGAACAGGCAGUAACAACCCCGAACAGAGAGGAACAACCCCAAACAGGCCGUAACAACCCCAAACAGAGGGGAACAACCCCGAACAGGCAGGAAAAACCCCAAACAGGCAGUAACAACCCCGAACAGAGAGUAACAACCCCAAAGAGAGAGGAACAACCCCGAAGAGAGAGUAACAACACAGAACAGAGAGGAACAACCCCGAACAGGCAGGAACAACCCCGAACAGGCAGGAACAACCCCAAACAGAGAGUAACAACCCCGAACAGAGAGGAACAACCCCGAACAGGCAGUAACAACACCGAACAGAGAGGAACAACCCCAAACAGAGAGGAACAACCCCAAACAGAGAGGAACAACCCCGAACAGAGAGGAACAACACCGAACAGAGAGGAACAACACCGAACAGAGAGGCACAACCCCGAACAGAGAGGAACAACCCCGAACAGAGAGGAACAACCCCGAACAGAGAGGAACAACACCGAACAGAGAGGAACAACACCGAACAGAGAGGCACAACCCCGAACAGAGAGGAACAACCCCGAGCAGGAAGUAACAACCCCGAAGAGAGAGGAACAACCCCGAACAGGCAGGAGCAACCCCAAACACAGAGUAACAACCCCGAACAGGCAGUAACAACCCCGAACAGAGAGGAACAACCCCGAACAGGCAGUAACAACCCCGAACAGAAAGGAACAACCCCGAAAAGAGAGGAACAACACUGAACAGAGAGGAACAACCCCGAACAGGCAGGAACAAUCCCGAACAGGCAGGAACAAUCCCGAACAGUCAGGAACAACCCCAAACAGAGAGGAACAACCCCGAACAGGCAGUAACAACCCCGAACAGAGAGUAACAACCCCGAACAGAGAGGAACAACCCCGGACAGAGAGGAACAACACCGAACAGAGAGGAACAACCCCGAACAGACAGUAACAACACCGAACAGAGUAACAACCCCGAACAGAGAGGAACAACCCCAAAUAGUCAGUAACAAUCCCGAACAGGCAGUAACAACUCCGAACAGAGAGUAACAACCCCGAACAGAAAGUAACAACCCCGAACAGAGAGUAACAACCCCGAACAGGCAGUAACAAUCCGGAACAGAGAGUAACAACCUGGAACAGGCAGUAACAACUCGGAACAGGCAGUAACAGCCCUGAACAGGCAGUAACAACCCGGAACAGAGAGUAACAACCCUGAGCAGGCAGUAACAACCCGGAACAGGCAGUAACAACCCCAGCUAAACCAAUAGAACCGGCCUGGCAGCCACUCCUGUUCCAGUGCAGCACUCCACCAUGCAGAGGGGUCGGAGAAGCAGUUGUAGGUCACAGCAAGGAGUGGGCCGUGGGGAUCAUGGCCAGGUCGUGAAAUCCAAGUGGCACCCGCCAUGGCACCAGCCAGAACAGGUCCCCUCCUUUCCAAAGGGCAGAGCUGGGGCUGGCCCUGGAGAUGCUGGGGUCAGCAAGGGCUGGGGCUGCGCUCCCUCCUGGGUCUGUGUCAAAAGCAGCCAGCACCGAAGCCUGUCCACAUCGGCCAGGCCCUGUGCAAGCCGCGCUUCCCAGCAGACGGCACGGAAUUGCUGGUGAGAGUGGACGCUGGGCCGGAACAGAGCGGCGCUUCCUG
rnacentral:lncRNA from 1 species